rnacentral:rRNA from 1 species
GACGAACGCUGGCGGCGUGCUUAACACAUGCAAGUCGAACGGUAAGGCCCUUCGGGGUACACGAGUGGCGAACGGGUGAGUAACACGUGGGUGAUCUGCCCUGCACUUCGGGAUAAGCCUGGGAAACUGGGUCUAAUACCGGAUAGGACUCCUGCCUGCAUGGGUGGGGGUGGAAAGCUUUUGUGGUGUGGGAUGGGCCCGCGGCCUAUCAGCUUGUUGGUGGGGUGAUGGCCUACCAAGGCGACGACGGGUAGCCGGCCUGAGAGGGUGACCGGACACACUGGGACUGAGAUACGGCCCAGACUCCUACGGGAGGCAGCAGUGGGGAAUAUUGCACAAUGGGCGCAAGCCUGAUGCAGCGACGCCGCGGGGGGGAUGACGGCCUUCGGGUUGUAAACCUCUUUCAGCACAGACGAAGCGCAAGUGACGGUAUGUGCAGAAGAAGGACCGGCCAACUACGUGCCAGCCGCCGCCGUAA